rnacentral:rRNA from 1 species
CUGAGGGGGGCUGCUCCUAGUACGAGAGGACCGGAGUGGACGCAUCACUGGUGUUCGGGUUGUCAUGCCAAUGGCACUGCCCGGUAGCUAAAUGCGGAAGAGAUAAGUGCUGAAAGCAUCUAAGCACGAAACUUGCCCCGAGAUGAGUUCUCCCUGACCCUUUAAGGGUCCUGAAGGAACGUUGAAGACGACGACGUUGAUAGGCCGGGUGUGUAAGCGCAGCGAUGCGUUGAGCUAACCGGUACUAAUGAACCGUGAGGCUUAACCUUACAACGCCGAAGCUGUU